rnacentral:rRNA from 1 species
UUUCUACAGGCUUAACACAUGCAAGUCGAGGGGCAGCAUGGUCUUAGCUUGCUAAGGCCGAUGGCGACCGGCGCACGGGUGAGUAACACGUAUCCAACCUGCCGUCUACUCUUGGACAGCCUUCUGAAAGGAAGAUUAAUACAAGAUGGCAUCAUGAGUCCGCAUGUUCACAUGAUUAAAGGUAUUCCGGUAGACGAUGGGGAUGCGUUCCAUUAGAUAGUAGGCGGGGUAACGGCCCACCUAGUCUUCGAUGGAUAGGGGUUCUGAGAGGAAGGUCCCCCACAUUGGAACUGAGACACGGUCCAAACUCCUACGGGAGGCAGCAGUGAGGAAUAUUGGUCAAUGGGCGAGAGCCUGAACCAGCCAAGUAGCGUGAAGGAUGACUGCCCUAUGGGUUGUAAACUUCUUUUAUAAAGGAAUAAAGUCGGGUAUGCAUACCCGUUUGCAUGUACUUUAUGAAUAAGGAUCGGCUAACUCCGUGCCAGCAGCCGCGGUAAUACGGAGGAUCCGAGCGUUAUCCGGAUUUAUUGGGUUUAAAGGGAGCGUAGAUGGAUGUUUAAGUCAGUUGUGAAAGUUUGCGGCUCAACCGUAAAAUUGCAGUUGAUACUGGAUAUCUUGAGUGCAGUUGAGGCAGGCGGAAUUCGUGGUGUAGCGGUGAAAUGCUUAGAUAUCACGAAGAACUCCGAUUGCGAAGGCAGCCUGCUAAGCUGCAACUGACAUUGAGGCUCGAAAGUGUGGGUAUCAAACAGGAUUAGAUACCCUGGUAGUCCACACGGUAAACGAUGAAUACUCGCUGUUUGCGAUAUACAGCAAGCGGCCAAGCGAAAGCGUUAAGUAUUCCACCUGGGGAGUACGCCGGCAACGGUGAAACUCAAAGGAAUUGACGGGGGCCCGCACAAGCGGAGGAACAUGUGGUUUAAUUCGAUGAUACGCGAGGAACCUUACCCGGGCUUAAAUUGCAGAUGAAUUACGGUGAAAGCCGUAAGCCGCAAGGCAUCUGUGAAGGUGCUGCAUGGUUGUCGUCAGCUCGUGCCGUGAGGUGUCGGCUUAAGUGCCAUAACGAGCGCAACCCUUGUUGUCAGUUACUAACAGGUUCCGCUGAGGACUCUGACAAGACUGCCAUCGUAAGAUGUGAGGAAGGUGGGGAUGACGUCAAAUCAGCACGGCCCUUACGUCCGGGGCUACACACGUGUUACAAUGGGGGGGUACAGAGGGCCGCUACCACGCGAGUGGAUGCCAAUCCCAAAAACCUCUCUCAGUUCGGACUGGAGUCUGCAACCCGACUCCACGAAGCUGGAUUCGCUAGUAAUCGCGCAUCAGCCACGGCGCGGUGAAUACGUUCCCGGGCCUUGUACACACCGCCCGUCAAGCCAUGGGAGCCGGGGGUACCUGAAGUGCGUAACCGCGAGGAGCGCCCUAGGGUAAAACUGGUGACUGGGGCUAAG